rnacentral:tRNA from 1 species
GGGGUGGAGCAGCCUGGUAGCUCGUCGGGCUCAUAACCCGAAGGUCGUCGGUUCAAAUCCUGCCCCAGAAACCA